rnacentral:misc_RNA from 1 species
AUGCGAUAAGUAAUGUGAAUUGCAGAAUUCAGUGAAUCAUCGAAUCUUUGAACGCACCUUGCGCUCCUUGGCAUUCCGAGGAGCAUGCCUGUUUGAGUGUCGUUGAAUUCUCACAGCCCCCAGAUGUUGUGGGGGUGUGGAUUGAUGGAGGUCCUGCAGGUGGGGGGAAUUUUCCCCCCUCUGCUCCUCUGAAAUGCAUGGACAGGGAAAUGCAUGGGCAACCCCGUGGUCGGUAUGAUAAGAGUCUUACCUGUUCACGGUGGGUGUCGGCACACACACAUUUGACCUCAAAUCAGGCAGGACUACCCGCUGAACUUAA